CUAAGGAGGGAUGUUCUGUGGUGAAAGCCUGAAAGCUGUAUUAUUGUAUUAAAGAAGUAAGGUUAUGAUCUAGUUGAGUAUUUAUUCCAUUCCGUGAUUGCAAAAAGUGUAUUUAAAAUCAAAGCCUGAUAGAUUUAGCAUUUGUUUUUUGUGGACUUGAAGACUUAUAAUUAGAAUGUCAGAUCUUCGCAAAACCCUGCUGGGACUGCCUCAUAAACGAUCAUCAGCAUCAAGUUUGGCUUUGUCCAAACAACAGUUUUUACCCCUUAAGUGGCAAGAUUAUUUCGACAAAGAAGAAUAUAUAGACACCGUAUCUGGGCGGCAUCAUGUAUAUAUCAAAGGAUGUAAGGGACCCAUCAUUCUUUGCCUUCAUGGAGGUGGUUACAAUGGGCUAACUUGGUCACUUUUUGCGG